rnacentral:rRNA from 1 species
AGCGGUGGAGGCAUGUGGUUUAAUUCGAAGCAACGCGAAGAACCUUACCAAGUCUUGACAUCCCGAUGACAGAGUAUGUAAUGUACUUUCUCUUCGGAGCAUCGGUGACAGGUGGUGCAUGGUUGUCGUCAGCUCGUGUCGUGAGAUGUUGGGUUAAGUCCCGCAACGAGCGCAACCCCUGUCCUUAGUAGCCAGCGGUCCGGCCGGGCACUCUAGGGAGACUGCCAGGGAUAACCUGGA